UACGGAGGGUGCGAGCGUUGUCCGGAAUCAUUGGGCGUAAAGGGCGCGUAGGUGGCUUCUUAAGCGUGCGGUGAAAGCCUGGGGCUCAACCCCGGGUCGGCCGUGCGAACUGGGGGGCUGGAGCACUGUAGAGGCAGGCGGAAUUCCGGGUGUAGUGGUGGAAUGCGUAGAGAUCCGGAGGAACACCUGUGGCGAAAGCGGCGCACUGGACCACAUCUGACGCUGAGGCGCGAAAGCUAGGGGAGCAAACAGG
rnacentral:rRNA from 1 species